rnacentral:lncRNA from 1 species
AAUCCUCAACAAGAACAAAUUUGUGUGGCUACCAAACUAAACAGAAUAAGGGUGACUGAUGCACCAAAAACCUCAUUGGAUCACUAAUCACCACUUCAAAAAGAGAAAACCUUUUGGAAGAUGAACGUUUGCGUCGAACUAGCUGAACGUAGGACUGAAGAACAUCACGAAGAAUGAGUGGGUUAAGAUAGGUUUGAGCCUUAUAUCCUUUCUUUCUGAAACUAUGAACCAGGCCACGUUACAACCCUCAAAAGACCUAAUUGAAG